UACGGGGGGGGCAAGCGUUGUUCGGAUUUACUGGGCGUAAAGGGCGUGUAGGCGGUUGGCCAAGUCGGAUGUGAAAGCUUCACCACUCAACGGGAAGAGGUCAUCCGAAACUGGUCGGCUAGAGUAGGGUAGAGGCAAGCGGAAUUCCUGGUGUAGCGGUGGAAUGUGUAGAUAUCAGGAAGAACAUCGGUGGCGAAGGCGGCUUGCUGGGCCCUUACUGACGCUGAGACUCGAAAGCGUGGGGAGCAAACGGG
rnacentral:rRNA from 1 species